rnacentral:misc_RNA from 1 species
AAGUCGUAACAAGGUCUCCGUUGGUGAACCAGCGGAGGGAUCAUUACCGAGUUUACAACUCCCAAACCCCUGUGAACACACCUAUACGUUGCCUCGGCGGAUCAGCCCGCGCCCCGUAAAACGGGACGGCCCGCCCGAGGACCCCUAAACUCUGUUUUUAGUGGAACUUCUGAGUAAAACAAACAAAUAAAUCAAAACUUUCAACAACGGAUCUCUUGGUUCUG